AUUGAACGCUGGCGGCAGGCCUAACACAUGCAAGUCGAGCGGAUGAAGGGAGCUUGCUCCUGGAUUCAGCGGCGGACGGGUGAGUAAUGCCUAGGAAUCUGCCUGGUCGUGGGGGAUAACGUCCUGAAACGGGCGCUAAUACCGCAUACGUCCUGAGGGAGAAAUUGGGGGAUCUUCGUACCUCACGCUAUCAGCUGAGCCUAGGUCGGAUUAGCUAGUUGGUGGGGUAAAGGCCUACCAAGGCGACGAUCCGUAACUGGUCUGAGAGGAUGAUCAGUCACACUGGAACUGAGAAACGGUCCAGACUCCGACGGGAGGCAGCAGUGGGGAAUAUUGGACAAAGGGCGAAAGCCUGAUCCAGCCAAGCCGCGUGUGUGAAGAAGGUCUUCGGAUUGUAAAGCACUUUAAGUUGGGAGGAAGGGCAGUAAGUUAAUACCUUGCUGUUUUGACGGUACCAACAGAAUAAGCACCGGCUAACUUCGUG
rnacentral:rRNA from 1 species